UACGUAGGGUCCGAGCGUUGUCCGGAAUUAUUGGGCGUAAAGGGCUCGUAGGCGGUUUGUCGCGUCGGGAGUGAAAACACCGGGCUUAACUCGGUGCUUGCUUUCGAUACGGGCAGACUGGAGGUAUGCAGGGGAGAACGGAAUUCCUGGUGUAGCGGUGAAAUGCGCAGAUAUCAGGAGGAACACCGGUGGCGAAGGCGGUUCUCUGGGCAUUACCUGACGCUCAGGUGCGAAAGCUAGGGGAGCGAACAGG
rnacentral:rRNA from 1 species